rnacentral:rRNA from 1 species
UACGUAGGGUGCGAGCGUUUAAUCGGAAUUACUGGGCGUAAAGCGUGCGCAGGCGGUUUUGUAAGCCAGAUGUGAAAUCCCCGGGCUUAACCUGGGAAUGGCAUUUGGGACUGCAAGGCUUGAGUGCGGCAGAGGAGACUGGAAUUCCUGGUGUAGCAGUGAAAUGCGUAGAUAUCAGGAGGAACACCGAUGGGCGAAGGCAGGUCUCUGGGCUGACACUGACGCUCAUGCACGAAAGCGUGGGGAGC